UAUCUAGUGAUAAUAUGGUUAGAGUAUUGCUUUCAUACGGCGAUAGUUAUCGGUUCAAAUCCAAUAACUUAUU
rnacentral:tRNA from 2 species